GGCAUGGUGGCUUAGUGGUUAGCACCUUUGCCUCGUACCUCUAGGGUUGGGUUCGAAUCCUGCCUCUGCCC